ACGGAAGGCAGCAGUGGGGAAUAUUGCACAAUGGGGGAAACCCUGAUGCAGCGACGCCGCGUGAGUGAAGAAGUAUCUCGGUAUGUAAAGCUCUAUCAGCAGGGAAGAGAAUGACGGUACCUGACUAAGAAGCCCUGGCUAACUACGUGCCAGCAGCCGCGGUAAUACGUAGGGGGCAAGCGUUAUCCGGAAUUACUGGGUGUAAAGGGUGCGUAGGUGGUAUGGCAAGUCAGAAGUGAAAACCCAGGGCUUAACUCUGGGACUGCUUUUGAAACUGUCAGACUGGAGUGCGGGAGAGGUAAGCGGAAUUCCUAGUGUAGCGGUGAAAUGCGUAGAUAUUAGGAGGAACAUCAGUGGCGAAGGCGGCUUACUGGACUGAAAUUGACACUGAGGCACGAAAGCGUGGGGAGCAAACAGGAUUAGAUACCCUGGUA
rnacentral:rRNA from 1 species